rnacentral:rRNA from 1 species
AACGAACGCUGGCGGCAUGCCUAACACAUGCAAGUCGAACGGAUCCUUCGGGAAUAGUGGCGGACGGGUGAGUAACACGUGGGAACGUGCCCUUUGGUUCGGAACAACUCAGGGAAACUUGAGCUAAUACCGGAUGAGCUCUUCGGGGCAAAGAUUUAUCGCCAUUGGAUCGGCCCGCGUUUGAUUAGCUAGUUGGUGAGGUAAAGGCCUACCAAGGCGACGAUCAGUAGCUGGUCUGAGAGGAUGAUCAGCCACACUGGGACUGAGACACGGCCCAGACUCCUAAGGGGGGGAGCAGUGGGGAAUCUUGCGAAAUGGGCGAAAGCCUGACGCAGCCAUGCCGCGUGAAUGGAGAAGGGCUUAGGAUUGUAAAAGUCUUUCGGCGGGGACGAAAAUGACGGUACCCGCAGAAGUAGAUCCGGCUAACUUCGUG